CCCUACCCAUCUACUCUGCCGACUCACCCAUCGCACUCUCUCAGCCUAACUUCAAUCAUCGUCUCUCCCUGCCUCUCAGACUCGGCGUCUCCGCUACCCCACCAUCGGCGACUCCGCUUUUCCACCAUCGGCGUCUCCGCUUCUCCACAAUCGGCCUUCUCCGACUCACUGCCUCGGCACUCUCAUCGUCUCUAUCGAUCUAGGAGCCUCCCCGGUUCCGGUUCCGGUUCUCCGCCCUAACUGCCUUCACCCCUCUGGCAUCAUCGCUUUUGAGUUCGAAGACCUUCUAUCCUCAUACCUGUAAGGCAAUCCAUCUAACAUGCGUUGCAGUCUCGAUGGAACUUCUACUUGUCCUUCUAAGGCAGCCUCAUAGAGUUUAUAUUGCUCUCCAAUAUGACAAACAGAUUACUCCGCCAGCAGGAACAAAAUUGGUAGUACUGGGUUUGAUACUGCCUUCUUAUUUAUAGUGUUGAAGUGAUGUAUAGGUUGGUGUAAUAUUGAUUUUGAAUUCAUCUCGAUUAAAUUAAUGUUAGUUUUGGAAAAUGUAAAAUUCAUUUGUAAUUGAAUGCAUAUAGUUAUUGAAACUUGCAAUUAUGCUUUGUUUCUUGCAGUAAA